UACGAAGGGGGCAAGCGUUAUUCGGAAUUAUUGGGCGUAAAGGGCGCGUAGGCGGCUUUGCAAGUGGCGGGUGAAAUCCCACGGCUCAACCGUGGAAGUGCACUCGAAACUGCAUAGCUAGAGUCCUGGAGAGGAAGGUGGAAUGCUUGGUGUAGAGGUGAAAUUCGUAGAUAUCAAGCGGAACACCGGUGGCGAAGGCGGCCUUCUGGACAGUGACUGACGCUGAGACGCGAAAGCGUGGGGAGCAAACAGG
rnacentral:rRNA from 1 species